rnacentral:rRNA from 1 species
UUAAACUGAAGAGUUUGAUCAUGGCUCAGAUUGAACGCUGGCGGCAGGCCUAACACAUGCAAGUCGAGCGGUAACAGAUCCAGCUUGCUGGAUGCUGACGAGCGGCGGACGGGUGAGUAAUGCAUAGGAAUCUGCCCGAUAGUGGGGGAUAACCUGGGGAAACCCAGGCUAAUACCGCAUACGUCCUACGGGAGAAAGGGGGCUCCGGCUCCCGCUAUGGGAUGAGCCUAUGUCGGAUUAGCUAGUUGGUGAGGUAACGGCUCACCAAGGCCACGAUCCGUAGCUGGUCUGAGAGGAUGAUCAGCCACAUCGGGACUGAGACACGGCCCGAACUCCUACGGGAGGCAGCAGUGGGGAAUAUUGGACAAUGGGGGAAACCCUGAUCCAGCCAUGCCGCGU